CGAGGCGCCCCGCGGACUGCAGCGACUGCUUUGGGGCUACUCAAAGCUUGUCUGUUCAAGAUGAAUUAAAACCUUAGGAAAAGCCCUCUCCUAAAGAAGCUCCUUGGAGUCAAAUAAAAGAAAUCUUGCCUUUGUUUGUAAUGAUGUGCAUUUUCACACCCACUGCCUAAGGACACAUCUGAGACUGCAGGAACCAUCUUGGAGUAUCUUCCAUAUAGUAAAAGGAAGCUGCUGUUUUGAAACCAGUCUCUUGAAUCAGCAGUCACUGAGCCUCCCAAACUACUGCCUUUAGGAGAAGGAAGCCUGAAUCUACCAUUGGCAGACUGGAUUUCAGAGAAGUGCUAGCCUGAAUGCAUCAGUCCAUUAGCCUACAUGCUUUCUGCUUGAAUAUCAUUCACUUGCUCUGCAUUGCUCUGACCUGGCUGGACAAGACCCAGCUCCGAACUGAAAACCACAUACCUGUAUGCAGACAUAAAAACUUUCAUGAGAAGCAGAACCUACACUGGCCUUAGUAAUGGAAACAGAUGAUGUGUGCAUUAGAGUUCUUUUCUGUUCCCUCUGAGAUCAGAGGGGAGAAAGAAUAUAGGUGUGACUGCAAAGUAAUAUGCACAAAUAACGUGAAAGAAGAUCUGUGGAACUGAGGUACUCACCGUGUCCCAUCUUUAUCUGCCACAAAUGUUGGAGUUGCUAUUAGAGGGCUUCGAAGAUCUUUUCUUAUAUAGAUUUUUUCAGUAGAAGCUGCACAGUUGGUUGGUUUUUCACGCUGUACAUCAAAAGGCUUUCUUUCACUUUGAACUGCUACAUAAAGAUAGAAACAUACAGAUUUGAAAGGAAAUAAUUCAAAUGAAAAAUACAAAAAGCACAGCUAUAUCUAAAUGUUAGGCACAUUCCUAUUCUGGACGACACAAAACAAUGCAAACCCAGAAGGAACCCUGAAGA